UGUAGUCAAGAGGAAAUCAUUAGCGAAUCGUAAUUCAAUGUAUGGAGACGUAGUUCGUUUAGAUAGUGAAAAGAAAUCGUCUUAUAAAAUUGUGAAUACUUUAUUAAGUGUUAAUACUUUACUUUUUAUUUUUUUUUGUUGCAAAUUAAACUCUAUUAAAGAAUUGUUUUAAAUAAAAUUCAAGCGAAUAUGUUUAUGCCAAGAAUUUAUAAGUGCUUAUAAUAUAUCAUAAUGUGCCAUUUAUUAAAUCUUCUAAUAAAUAUGAAAUUGGCUCGGGAACCAAAAUUAGCAAUAGUUAAUUAAGUAAUAUACAUUAUGAAUUUAACUGAAAACAUCCAAUAUAUCAAAAAACUAAACAAAUCAAAUCAUGAAUUAUGAAAAUUACAGUUUGAACAAUACAAAGUUACAAUAAAAAGUUUAUUUCUACAGUAAAAUAUUAUAUAAUUUAUAAAAUUACACUAGUGAUAUUAUAAUUAAAAAUGAACAAAACCAACUUGAAUUGAUAAGUAAGAAAAGUAUUUUCAGAUUCUAUUGUCUGUAUCAAUUGAACAUGAUCAAGAAAUGCAAAAUGUUAAGCGAUGCAUGAAAACAAAAGAAAUACGAUUCACUAAUAAAAACAGUUUUGUAUAAACAGUUGUGUCAUCUAAAAAAGGAGCCUAUUCAGAAUAUGGUGGAGCAUGUAAAUAAUUUUAUUUGGCAGAAAGAAAACAAAAUGGUGGAAGAAUUAUGUUCAUUGGUUUUGUUCUUAUAAAAGUGGCAGAAGUAUCAUGUCCUUGGUUUUGUUCAUAGAAUCUAUCAGCAGAAUUGCCCAAUCGUUGAUGCUAAGAAAUUUAUUAUAUCAUUUAAAUACAAAAAGAAAGAAGUCGAUCUAAAAACGUAUUAUUACACUGUUAAGUUCAUCUUACUUCUCUUUAUGAAUUGUAUCAUUUUCUGUUUAAUUUUGUAAGACCAGUUAGAUUUAGGAAUAAAAAUGAAAGUAAUCUAUUGCUUUUGAAUUUGUAGAGAGACACUCAAAUUGUCCAAUCCAGUUUUAGAAGAUAGAACAUUAGCUGGACAAGUGAUAAAUAUUCAUCUUAUUUCUGAAAAAUGCUCCUGUUUUAUUUAAUUUUUGUAUUUUUUUUCAGAGUUGUGCUGUGAUGAGUAAUAGUAACAAUGAUAAUAAAGUGGAAUGGUGUAUUUAUGGUUUUAUACAUUUUAUCUUUCGAAGUGUGAUAUAAUACUUUAUUUUUUUUAGUUUCUCUAAGAUAAAGAAUGCAAUGCUUCAUUGAACAAUGAAAUGUCUAUAAAGUGGCGCUCUAUAUGUAAAUCUUUAUCAUCUUCAUUGCUGAUGUUGUCAAGACCAUUUUGUAAGAAGCAGCUAAUUAUAGGUACUUUAUGUCAGAAAAGAUUAUUUAUUGUACAAUUUAACCAUUUGUACUCCAGCUUAGUGAUUUACAUAGUAUACCAACAACUUCAGGAAUAUAUUACAAGUAUGUGUGUGUGUAUAACACAAGAAAUACGAUUGCUGCAAUGAAACAAAAUAUUUAUUCAUUAUUUAUGUUAUAUAAAACAAGCUCGCUUAUAAAUCUUCAAGAAAAUGAAAAUUUUAUGUUUUGUAAUUUGUCAUAGUCUAACAUUUCUGGAAACAAUCACCUAUAUGCAUAUAGGAUUUCCCAAGCCAACUAUCACAAAAUUCACUAGUUUCAUGUCUUUUUCCUUUCUCUUGUCUGUUAAAGCAUACAGCACAAUCUCGUUUUUUCCUUUUGCAUUAUAUACAGCUUUUUAUCAAAUCUGGUCUCAAAUGCCAAAGUUGAAAAUCUUGAUUGUUCUUCUUGGAAGUUACCUACUAGUUGAUCGAUUAAUCGCUUGAUGUACUUCAAAUGUGACAGUGGAUUUUCAAUUUUAUUCUUUUUCAUGCUUUUAUAUAAAAUGUAUGAACUUAUGAGAUACAAUAGUUUAUACUA